rnacentral:rRNA from 1 species
AGAUGUGGUUAAGUCCCGCACGAGCGCAACCCCUAUCUUUAGUUGCCAUCAUUGAGUUGGGCACUCUAAAGAGACUGCCGGUGGUCAAACCGGAGGAAGGUGGGGAUGACGUCAAGUCCUCAUGGCCUUUAUGACCAGGGCUACACACGUACUACAAUGGCCGGUACAAAGGGCAGCGACACAGCGAUGUGAAGCGAAUCCCGAAAAGCCGGUCUCAGUCCGGAUUGGAGUCUGCAACUCGACUCCAUGAAGUUGGAAUCGCUAGUAAUCGCGGAUCAGCACGCCGCGGUGAAUACGUUCCCGGGCCUU